UUUAAGUACAUUACUUCAUUUUGAAACAUACGCAUUUAAAGACAGAUGAAAAGUUUGGAGUCCAGACCUAUGGAGAAUGUGAUGGGUAGGGAUUUUUGAUAUCACUCCAGGCCAUCUGGCCAAACGGCAGCAAAUAAUUAAAUUUACUGACUUGUCUUGUCUGAGAUAACAUCAUUUCAGGGCCUCAGGACUGUUUGUGUUUCCACUCUCUCAUCCCAUCACUGUGUUUUUAGUUUUUGUGGUGUUUUUUGCUGAUUUUUAUCUGUUGUUAUGACUGUACACAGCCCUUGGCACCCAUAUUCUCCUGCCCCUCUGCUGCUGUAACUUUAUGUUUCUCCUCAGUACAAUCACUCUUUCAUGUGCCCCUUUUCUCUUAGUUUUAGCACACUUACCAGGUUUGUUCAAUGCCAGACGUCUUCAGAGGAAGUCUGGACACAAAGCAAUGUCUGUGUGUGUGAUUUGGUGGAAUCGAUCCACUGUCUCCAGGACCAGACCCUGUACAAAAACAUACUUCCUCCUCCAAAAACACUAAUAAAAAUUAUGACCAAUGAGAAUUAUACAAUUAUUUUCAAGCUUGUUUUGACGAAGCCAUGUUAAUUUGCUCAUCUUCAAAGAGCUUUAGCUGCAUGCAAUAAUGCCACUUAAUCAGAAUGGUAAGUGGGAAUUCCACCCCAUGCUGGACAGCUCAGAUGAAGUCUGGAUGACUCAAGAGCAACUGGCAUUCAGCAGGAACACACUUGCUUCUUAUUUCCUCUGACUUUCACUCAUAUUUUUUGGUGUCUUCCUUCCACAAAAUUUCUCAAAUCAAUCUGUCUGUAUUUCCUUCCCUCCAAAAAGCUUCAGGUAACAGUUUGCUGCCUUCUAAUAUUUGGGUAAUUUUACGGUUUUAUGUUACCAGCUGAAUGGUGUUACACUAUAGUGCUCUCAACUUGUUCUCACUAAGGAAUUUGCCAACAACAACAACUUUUUGUUAUUCUUAAUGUCACACCUUGCUUAUCAGUGCCCAAAGCCAAACAUGAAGAAAAGGUGAUGUAAUUUCCCAUUAAAGUAUCACUGUAUACUAAUAUAAUAUACCAUUCUUAAAAUAUUCUAACAAUUCCUCUAUGUGUGCGUUUUGUUGGCAGUUUUGUUCCUUCUGGAGGAAUUAAUCAUUUUUUCCUGGACCAAACCACUGUGCUUCUGACAUGUACUGUCCCAUUGAGCUGUUUAUCUGCCAAAGUGGAAUCCUGGAUAAAUACAUGGAAACUUCCAGUUCUGCCUGAACAAGACUUAUGCUGACUGAGAGAGUCUGUAUGGAGAAACACAGCUGAGUGGCAGCCAAAGAGAUACAUUACUACCCUUACAAGCUGGGUUUGGAGCAUCCAGUCAGUGCUUCACCAUGGUGGACACAUUCACUGUUUUUGAUGCUUGCUUUUUGAAAACCAGUUUGUGCUUUUCUUCAGUCGCCAGAAGCAAGCGUGCAGCCAUAGCACAGAUGUAAACAACCACAGAGCUCUGCAGAAGAGCAGAGCAGUCAGCCUUGGUGCUGAGCAGCCCCUCCCUGGGGCAGGCACACCACUGCCUGCAGCCAGCGCUGCUAGGUCACCAGCCCAGAGCACCCCUGCAUGCACCUGUCUUGACUGACUGCAAGAUUUGCAACCCACCUUGAUGAAUGCAAACAAAAAUAUCCAUGAUUGAUUAAAUUCUUCAUUCAGCUCUGAUGAUUGGUUACAGCAAGUGAUAGCUGGGUGCUGAAUUCAUUUUUGCCCUUUCAAGUUAGCAACAUGUCUUUUGACACAUUUAAUUUGCUGCAGUUUGAAGUGAUCCUGGAAAUAUCAGCUUCUUUCGCUGCUUUUCAAAUCCUAAACUUCAAUUGCUAAUUCAAGCUUUAAAAACUCGAAGACUAACAGAUGUGUAAGGAAUUUUUUGAAGAAAAAUAUCAAUCAGGAAAAAAAAAAAUCAAUCAGAAACUAUUUGAAGUCUAUCAUGUGAAGUCUAUUGGAAAGAAUUUCAAGUAAAACACAAAUUAACUUUUGCUGUCAGUAUUUAUAGCAACAACACUCCAGGACAUAGAAACCCAAACUGAAAAAUCUCAUUUAUAAAAAUGAAACUAGAUUCCACUGGAGGGGACUGCAAACUAAAUAGCAUGAGUUAAAGGAAAGUCAGGUGGAUUUUGGUGGUAGAUAGCCACCAUGACUUCCAGGUGCUGGGCAGAGCACUCGCUACCACCAGCAUCUUGCCCUGUCCAUGAAACAGAAGAAGGGUAGUGCAAAUUCCUUGUUGGCCUGUUUCUAUUUCCAGACUAGCUCUUCUGCUUUAGAUCCACAUUAUUAAUGGGCUCUCUGGGGAACAGGCAUGCAGAAAUUAAGCUUUGCUAUACCCAGAAGGCCAAAAGCACUGCCAAGAGUCGGUACCUGAUUUAGACUCACGGUGACAAGGCUCAGAUUGAGAUUCAGAGGUGAUGUCCCCUGCCAGAGGCAGAGAUAUCUCUUUCUCAGGGUGGCUUUGUGCUGAGUGGACCAAGCCACUUCUAGCUGGGCCCCAGAAAAAUGUGAAGGUCAGACUGAAGAUGUUCAAGGUCAAGAUAUGCCAAAUAACAAAAUGUCCUUCUUGUGCCGACAGUGAUCUUGCUGUUGUGUUGCAGGCUAGUGAGGUGUAUCUGAGGCUCAUACAUUAAUUUUUUUCUCUGGAAAGUAAAGCAGAUCCUUGAAUCCCCAACAUCCAAGGUAAAUAAAUCCUCUCUUUCUUUUUAACACAGCUGCUUCAAAUGAAAACAAAACAUGCUGUGGUUUUCUUGAUUUCUCUAGCCACUGGCAGACACAAGGAAAGUGCCACACACAUAUUGCUGAAUUUGGUUUUGCCUCACUGGAUUUUUAUGGAUGGUUACCCUCAAAAAACAAACUAUUAAUAGGCCUGUGUCUGAAUGCUCGACCAUGUGAGACUUCAUCUGUUACAUUCAGGCUGUGUUUUGAUAGAUUGUUAUUCCAUUAACUAAAAAUCCUUUGGGCUAUGAAGGAUAUAAAACAGUCCUACAACCACUUGCCCUAAAACUAAUAUUUAAUUACCACAGGGAAAAAUUGAGUAGUCCAUUAGAGGAAUGGGAAAGGAAUUACUUCAUAGACAAAGAAAAUGAAAUAGAUAUGAAUUCUAGCAGUAUAAGCCAAUCUAAAAGUCUUUUGAAUUGUGAUUUGUUCAAGUGAUGCUAACAAUACUACAGAUCAUUUAAAUAGAUUUUGUAACUCUGAUGUUGUUACAGAGAUUAAAUUACACUAAGAUAAUAAUGUAGCUUUAGGGUAAUUUACAUAAAGAAAAAGCUAGACUCCUAAAAUUUCAGUUUUCUGCAUACCCUUCUUAAUGGGAGCAAAUUCCAAAACAAUUUUGAUUUUAGAAGCAAUUUGUGAAGCUGUCCAGUGACCAUUGCUCCUGCUCCAAAUUCCCAGGCAAAAAUUAGGCAGUAAUUUUUAUUUUCACUCAUGCACACAAGCAAAAAUUCUUGCUUAAUCUCUUCUGCCUUUUCUGGUUUAUAGUGCAGGAUAAACCAAUUUAAAUAAAGAGAUUAAUGAUUUUAAAUAACAAGCGAGAAAUUUUGCUUUGAAUAUGAGUUUUUAACUUGCCUUACACAUCUUUAUAAUUUGAUUUGAAGAAAUUUUAGCACUGUUUGUUGGAAAGUUUGCAAUGCAAAUUUCUACAUAAUCUUGAUGCUAAAUGUGGUAUUUUUUUCCUACCUAUAUACCUAUGCACAUUUGUAUAUACACAUCUUGCUUGGAGUACAUGUAUUCCUGUCCUAUUUUUUUUUUACUCUGAUAAUAUUUUAAACCAAAGAAAUCAUUAUUCAAAGCCUCUAAGUAAAAUGCAGAGAGGAGAUGUGUAAAUCUAAGUCUUAAAGUGCUUUUUCAAAAAACCAAACCUUCUCAUAGAUGAUUAUUGCAUACAUAUAUUUUGGAAACAAUGCUUUUUUUUUUUUUUUCCCCUCAAGAUCACGGUUCAAUUCUGCCCUUUAUGUUUGUUGCCUGUGAACAAAGCUAAGACCACCUUCAAAAUUCAUCAGCAUGGGAAGUAACAUUGCAUGAGUUCAAAUGACACAAAAAUGUAAGGAAAGAGCCAGACCUGGUUUUGGCUCUUCAGCAAAGGGAAGUCUCUGGCAGCUCUGAUUUCUGCAGAUUGAGCACGGUCCUGCUGGUGGCUGGGUAUGGUGCUCACAGCAAAGCACUCCCCUUCCUGGCUCCAUGCUCGAGGUAAGACACCAUCAGCUCUGGCAUGAGAGCCUUGCUCUGCUUGGCAGCCAGAGGGUGGUGUUCAAAGCCCAGCAUGUCUCCAGGACAAAAUACCUGCUCUGGUAUCUUCCACUAGGACGGGCUUCCCCUUGGAGUAAUCCAGCAUUUACUGUGGGAUUUGCAUGAGGAACCUGAAAAGACAUUUAAAGGCUGCCACUCUCGCCCACACCUUGAAAUACCCACUUUUGUAUGCUCCUUGAAAGUACCACAUGAAAGCAAGGCCUUUAGAUUUGCAGGUUUUUUAACCUCUAAGCAAAGUAAGGAUCUGUUCCUUCUCUUCCCCCAGCUGCCAUCAGAAUAACAGGCCCCACAGAAUUAGUAAAUCAAAGGUUUCAGUCUGAAUGCAUCACAGCUGUGGAAAACAUAUACUUCAGUUUUCAGGGCUGAUGACUUCCAGCUCUAUCCAAAAUAAUUUCCCCUGUAAUUCCCAAUCAAGACUGCUUCCCAACACCAACUUUAGCAGGACACAUCCCAAAAACUGAACUUAGAUGACACAGAAACAUGUCUUGGUGAAUAUCUGAAUGCUCUCAGUGUGCCCUCAAAGAGCCAGGUGGGCACAGUGUGCAGGAGUCAGUAGUACAGCACAAGUCGGGCAGGAAGGGACAAGGCCUCCUGCCUUUCAGCAUCCUUAAAUGCCCUAGGAUGUCCCUGCCUGUCAAAGAUUUCUCCUCUUGCUGUAGCUGGAAUGGUUAUGAGACGGUCUCCUGAAGCUCCCUUCCCCUUUCCAACAUGUCCUGGGCAGUUUCAGCUGAGAGGGCAGAGGUGCAGCCUGGGCAGCAGCGAGGCAGGAUGCAGUGCCCCAUGGAGGGCAGGGCACCGUGCCAACGCACGGGGCUGAGCUGAGCGUGCUGGGAGCACAGCAAAAGCCUGCAGGCAGCUACAGCAAAGCCUGCUCAGGACCGUGCUCAGUGGAAAGCUAUUGAUACAGACACAAUUUCAAAAUAAAAGUGGGUUUCAGCACUCUGCUGCUCCUGGAAGAGGUACCUGUCUCCUUAAUGAGCCUAUUCUCAUACCAGAAAUUUGUUUAUUUCAAAACUUAGCUUUAGUGCAAGGGGGAUAUUUCUAUCAGUGCUUCCGUUGCACUUGGUUGAAGACACUGCUGCAACAUUUGGCCAGCUUGACAUUUAAAUGUCAUUUACACCAGAAAGCAACUGAGCCUGAAUACUGAGGCAGAUAUCAUGAGCGAAGGUGAGCUUCCACAACUGAAUGAGGUUGCUGAUAAAAAGACUGAAUUGCAGAAGCAUUUGCAGAAUGCCAAUGGAAGACCACUGAUUCUUCUGCAUAUGCUUUAUUUCCUGUAUGUGCCUUGUGCAAUUUACCUUGGAGGAGCAAUGCUGCAAGAGAUGUUACCAAAAUUUUCAUUUAAAAUCUAGCAUUUGUGGUCCCUACUGGUUAAAGCAGGAUAAGCAGGUUUCUGUCCCCUCCUGAAAUGGGAUUGAUGAUAUUUUCUAAACCAAGCUUCUGAGUCCUAGACUUGCUUCAGCCCAGCAGGCCAGGGGGACAUGCUGACAUCCUCUCUUUCUGUGUAGCAUUGCUGCACACAAAGUUGUUCAAAACUGUUUGCUUCCUCAAUGUUUCUGUUCCAGAUGACAGCAGGACAAACAGACUGAGAUCUCUUCUUUUGACAUGGAUUGUGUAGGAAGAGUUAUUGCCUAUCCCCUAAGCACAGAAUUUCAUUCCCAAACGUACCUCCUGACGUGUGUUUAGGAUGCAGUCCAAAAAUCCACAGGACAAAGAAGGAAGAGUAAUGAAAUUGGUAAAAAAACGCAUUAAAGAGAAAUAGAGGCAAAAAAAAAAUAAAGUUAAUUACUCUACCUGUGUUUGAGCCCACAGGGUGUGUAUAGAUGAGUGUUAGUGAUGUAGCUGUCCAUUGGUGCUGGGGUAAACUUUGUUCUUAAGGCCAAAUAAUCUAUCAAGAUAAAAAUGUUAAACAAGUCCUUUCCACUUAUGCUGCUCAGUAUGGCUCAAAUUGCUUUUCAGCUGUGCCCAGUGCUUUUGCUGACUUAAAGUAAAUUAAACACCAUCCUUUUCUAAUUAGGUAAGUUAGGAGAUGUUGGUGCUACUUCCUACUAAUUUAAAGACUAUAACUAAUUUAAAGAAAUUAAAGCAAAAAACCCCACCUUUAAACAAUAAAUUAAUCCAGAAUUUGAUUUAAUAAGGAAGGAAGCAACUGAGGGUUAAGUAACUCAGUCAGGUGGGCAUGCAAAGGAAAAUCAGCCAGUGUAAAGCGAGUAGUGUACCCUCUGUGGGGGUUAUUGGGGAUCAAAGGUUUUUUCUUCUUAACAGAUAAUUGCAAGCAUGUAAUACAUCCAAUCCCCUUCUCAGUCAUCUUUAAUAACCAUUUCUGUAAGUCAUUACACUGAGUGUAACUGUCCAGGUGCUGGCAGCCUCUGUGGAGAGAGGCCAGGGCUGCCCUGUGCUGGAUGCAGCCAAGGCAGCACAGGGCACGGCUCAGUCCGGCUGCCAAAUGGGGGCACCUCUGGGAAAGAGGAUCUGAGGUGGGGCAAAAAAUAUUGCACAGGCAGAGGAUGAGGGGCGAAGAAGUGGGCAGCAGUCACCUGAACACCAAGCUGAAAGCAGGAGGAGGGUGAGGAGGUGCUGCAGAUCUGAGAUGAGCUGAGAUUCCUGGCAGCCCCAGGAGGAACCCACACCAGCAAGCAGGCAUUUCACAACAGGAAUCUCAGCCUGUGGAAAACCCAUACUGGGUUUAUCCAUAAGGACUGCAGCUCAUGAAGAGGAUUCAGGCUGAAGCAGGGGGCAGGAACAGCAGAGCCCACAACAGCUGUUACAGAUUGACCACCAUUUCUGAGGAGGAGGCAGAAAAGUCAGGAGUGAAGGUGUGAAGUAGAGGAAAGGGAGGGUAGUAUUUUAUAGUUUUUGACUUUGUUUCUCACUAUGCAAUUUUAAUUGGCAAUAAAUUAUAGUCUCUUUUGCGUUUGAUGGUAACUGGCAAGCAUUCUUCCCAUCUUUCUCAACUAAUUAAGUUUCUCUUUUCUUCUUCUACCAGCUGAGAUGCUGGGGUGAAUGAGAGGCUGGGUGGGCACACCCCCCAUCAGUUAUCCAGAGUAGAGCAUCAGGUACAGGAAGCCUUGUGGAGAGUGCAAGCUUUGCUAAAACACAUCAGCAGACUGGAAUAAAAGUCACCAUUAGCAAGAUACAGAAAAAAGCCACAGCCCCAAACAGCUCUCUUUCAAACGUGAUUCGCCAGCUUCAUAAUUUUUGAAACUGGAUUCUAGCACAUUUUACUUCUUUGCCUCCUAAAAAGGUGUGCAAUAUUGAACUUUCAAAGACCUUUAAAAAUCCCACCACAAGAGAGCUAACAGUCCAUCUCAAACCCUUAUGAGAACAUCUUGUAAUGAACCUGCACAGCAAAAGAGAGGUUUGUGACAGAGGGCCCUCUUCUUAUGGGUAAGUUCCCUUAUGGGUGAGAUAUCAUUUGAU